CUUGGUGCCAAAAGCGAUGGGGAAACACCUCUUCCCAUUUCGAACAGAGAAGUUAAGCCCAUUAGCGCCGAUGGUACUACCCGCCUCGGCGGGUGGGAGAGUAGGUCGGUGCCAAGU
rnacentral:rRNA from 1 species